UCUUGAGAGCGGCGGACGGGUGAGUAAAGCCUAGGAAUCUGCCUGGUAGUGGGGGAUAACGUUCGGAAACGGACGCUAAUACCGCAUACGUCCUACGGGAGAAAGCAGGGGACCUUCGGGCCUUGCGCUAUCAGAUGAGCCUAGGUCGGAUUAGCUAGUUGGUGAGGUAAUGGCUCACCAAGGCGACGAUCCGUAACUGGUCUGAGAGGAUGAUCAGUCACACUGGAACUGAGACACGGUCCAGACUCCUACGGGAGGCAGCAGUGGGGAAUAUUGGACAAUGGGCGAAAGCCUGAUCCAGCCAUGCCGCGUGUGUGAAGAAGGUCUUCGGAUUGUAAAGCACUUUAAGUUGGGAGGAAGGGCAGUUACCUAAUACGUGAUUGUUUUGACGUUACCGACAGAAUAAGCACCGGCUAACUCUGUGCCAGCAGCCGCGGUAAUACAGAGGGUGCAAGCGUUAAUCGGAAUUACUGGGCGUAAAGCGCGCGUAGGUGGUUUGUUAAGUUGGAUGUGAAAUCCCCGGGCUCAACCUGGGAACUGCAUUCAAAACUGACUGACUAGAGUGUGGUAGAGGGUGGUGGAAUUUCCUGUGUAGCGGUGAAAUGCGUAGAUAUAGGAAGGAACACCAGUGGCGAAGGCGACCACCUGGACCAACACUGACACUGAGGUGCGAAAGCGUGGGGAGCAAACAGGA
rnacentral:rRNA from 1 species